GGUUCCAUAGUGUAGCAGUUAGCACCUCUGCUUUACAAGCAGAAGGUCCUGGAUUUGUGCCCCAGUGGAGCCA
rnacentral:tRNA from 1 species